GGCGCUGUGACCGAGUGGUUAAGGUGACAGAUUUGAAUUCUCAAUUAUCUGUUGGGAUUUUCCCGCACAGGUUCGAACCCUGUCGGCGUCG